CCUACGGGUGGCAGCAGUGAGGAAUAUUGGUCAAUGGCCGGAAGGCUGAACCAGCCAUGCCGCGUGAAGGUCAGUGCCCUAUGGGCGUUAAACUUCUGUUGUGCGGGAGCAAUAAUGGUCACGUGUGGCCAGACGAGAGUACCGUACGAAUAAGCAUCGGCUAACUCCGUGCCAGCAGCCGCGGUAAUACGGGGGAUGCAAGCGUUAUCCGGAUUUAUUGGGUUUAAAGGGUGCGUAGGCUGUGAGGUAAGUCAGUGGUGAAAUGCCCCCGCUCAACGGGGUGAAGUGCCAUUGAUACUGCCUGGCUGGAAUGCGGAUGCGGUGGGAGGAAUGUGUGGUGUAGCGGUGAAAUGCAUAGAUAUCACACAGAACACCGAUUGCGAAGGCAUCUCACGAAUCCGCGAUUGACGCUGAUGCACGAAAGCGUGGGUAUCAAACAGGAUUAGAUACCCUGGUAGUC
rnacentral:rRNA from 1 species